CUGUCCCUGUAACGUGCUGGCAGGUCCCCAUGCUCGCUGGGGCUCUGCUGUCCCUUCUGGGGAAGUCGGUGGCCGGCUCCGUAGGUCUGCUCUGAGGACAGCUUCCAGGAGAGAAGCACUGAGGUCCAGAAGCGGCCUCCCGUCCCCCUGAGGCCCUCCUUAAUUCUCAGCGCAUUUGAACAUCUGCUGACAAAUCCUCCGUGAACUCCCCUCCCGACCAGCGAUCUGGCUGAGUUGACCUGUGGACGCUGACCUUCACCUGUAGAGUCCCCCGGAAUCCCCACCUUCUGUGCCUGUGAAGGUCCCCAGCACACCCCUGAGUGGGAGCAGCUGUCCUCGUCUGGUUCCCAAAUCCAGAGGGAACGUGUCCUAUGGAAUGAAAUCAAUACCAAGUCUCCACGAUCCCCUUCAAAAAGCUGAGGUGAGAGCCUUCCAGACUCAGGCUGCCAGGCGGCCUCACUCUGCCAAGCUGACCACCCCCUGGAACGCGGCGCAGAAAUGCUUAACCAAAACGCCAGCAAAGGAAUCCAAAGUCCACAUCGAAGGACGUUACUCCAGGACCAAGAGGGCUCAUCCCAGGAAGGUCCGGCAGGCUUCACAUCACAAGUACCCAGGAGGGGUCCACCAUGGAACGGGCCAAGUGGGAAACCUGCUUGCCCAGCCCGAUGCCCACCUGACAGGGACUCCACAGACCGCGCCAGGGAGGGAACUGUGUCUGUGGCAGGAGGCGGCAGCUCACUCCCCGAGACCAGGAACAAGAAAAAGCUGCCCGUCCAGCCCAGGUCCAGCCACUGUGAUGGAGGCUCUGGGGGAGGAAGAGGUGACACUGACCACGUGACUGUGGCCAGCGACGUCCAGAGGAGCCACAGGGACUGCUGGAGAGACAGUGGAGUUUCCACACCCAAAGCGGGCAGCGGGCAGCAGGGAUCGAAUCCAGGGUGCUCCACCACUGAGCCACACCCCAGCCGUUUUCAUUUUAAGACACGGUGUCCCUAAGUUGCCCGGUUGGCCUCAGACUCGUGAUCCUCCUGCCUCAGCCCCUGGAGUUGCUGGGGCUGACUUUCCGCCGCUGUGUCUCCCCGGUGAGGUGUCGGUUCAGAUCUUCUGCCCAGGGUCAAACUGGUGGUUCAUCCUGGUGUGUAUUAAGAGACCCCGGGCAUUUGGAGUCAUGGUCCUUUAUGAGACAGUCUUCAAGUGUGUCCCAUCUAAGCUUGUCCUGGAGUGUGUCUGGCGGGUGGUAUUCGCCCGUCUGUCCCUGAGUGUGCUGGGCUUUGGCAUCCCUUCCCAGAGGCUGGCCAGAGGGUGAGCGGGAUGCAGUGGGGCAGGCACCUCUUCCUGCCUUCCCUGUGAGGCUCCUGUGACGCUUGAGCUCACCAGCGGAGCCACCUGGGUUUGAGGUUUGCUUUAUGGUGGGCAAAGUGUUUUUUUUUGUGUGUGUGUGUGUGUGUGUGUGUGUGUGUGUGGUGCUGGGACGGAGCCCAGGGCCUUGUGCAUGCGAGGCAAGCCCUCCACCAGCUGAGCUGUGUCCCCAGCCCCAGCAGUUUCCGUCUCUGGAUUCAACGUGUAGUCGACACAGGACUGUUCAGAUUUUCCUUUUCCAAGCGUCAGUUCUAGUAAAUGGUGUCUCACCCGCAAAGGACCAGUGCCUUCCUGGCACCCCUGGCGGGCCCCUCCCGACACUGGCAGUCUGGACUUUGUCUUCCUUAGCCUUUCUGAUGAUCUGUGCAGGAGUCAGUCACUUCCUUGGGUGACUUGAAACCCCAUCACCCCCUUCCCUUGGCUGGCCGGGCACACCGUGAAGUCCCUGCUUCCCUCGAGCACCUUUGGGCCGUGAGUUCUCAGCCCAGGUAACUGCUCCGAGCAGGGGUGUUUCUGUGCUUGGUGCCCCCCACCCCCAGCACUGGGCUCGCUGUCAGUCACAGCGGGUGGGCAGCACUGACCCAGGCCUUGUCAGAGCACUGGGGGGAUGCUAGGCCAUCAGCCGAGCCUCCAUGCACAACUAAACCCAUGCCACCUCUCCCGUGGCUUCCCUGGCUCCGCGGCUUCCCUAUUGGCUCUUUGCUCUUUCUCUGGAACAUCUGGCCAGAUCCCACACAGGAGGUGCUCUGGGGAGCUUAUCAGGUGACUGAAGGAGGGAAGGAAGGAAGAGGAAGAGAUACGCGCAGGCUCUGGGGCUGUCCGGAAGCAGCCACCGUGGGGAGAGCUGCACACCACCCCCUGCAAGGUCCUCCUGCCUGCAGUGGUGGCAGCCCUAGCCAGACACCAAGAGCCCCCGGGGCAGCUGUCACCGGCCCUGCCAAGGUCCUGCCUGGAUCCUGGACACUCUGUGGGGCUCACUGGUCUCAAGGGCAGGCAGAGUGCAUGAAGGCCAGUAGCCUCCUCUGGAGGCCUGGGAACCUGGCCACUCCGUACCGCACCCUUCGACUUGUCCUGGGGCAGCAGUGGGUGCUAGGACCACAGCCAGGACUGAGUCACCCUGCACAUGGAGCCUGAGAAAGAAGGUCCAGGACAGCCCACAGCCGGCCACCCUUCACCAACCUGUCCCCAGACAGCACUCCCAGCCUUGUCCCCAGCAGGCCCUGUGGUCAAGCUCAUCCCCACAACAAAGGCCCCAAGAGUGGAGCUGCCAGCCACCCUGCUCACCAACAACCCCUCAGUGGCCUGGUGGCCAAGACAUGUCCCUCGCACUGUGAGGAGCACCAACACAUGUGCUCACACCACAGCAUGCACACGCAGCCCUGGGAGGCUGGGACGCUCCCCAGCAAGAGCCACCUCAACAGAGCCCCCCCGGGGUCCUACAGGAGACCCAUUUUUGCCCCCUCCCUGUCGCGAUGGGCAAAAGGUGUGACCUAUGCAGUCCAGGGGGAGAAAUAAAGAAUGUCCACGCGCUU